ACUCAUCAUAAUUUUUUUCUUCAGAUCAGAAAAGUGAAGGGGUUUCUUUGUUUAAUCAUUUUAAUAGAACAAUUAUUCUUUUAUUUUUAAAUAUAAUUUUCAAGUGCAUUAACUUCUUGUGACAGGUGCUGUUUUGACAGUCGUGGAGAAUUAAGUAAUUUUCUACCCAAUAAUGCAAAAUUGUCAGUCAAAGAUUUCUUUAUCUGCUGCCCUUAGACAUUCCAGCUUCAUUUUGGAGUGACCAUUCCUAAAAGCAAAAAGACAGCAGUGACUCUGGACCACUUCUUCUGCUGAGAUCAAUUGUCUGUUAUAGUUCUUUACUUUGGACUAAGCUGAAGUUCCUGGCUCAUUUCUUGUCUCUGAAGAGCAUGAAGGAAACAUCAAACUUCUCCAUUAGGGAUGGAUGUGAUAAAUGUUAAUGAACAUGCAAAGUGCACCUCCUAUCUCGAAAUGCAAGAGAAGAUGGCGUUGAGCUGGAAGAGUGCGAUGGAACUUAAGAUAUUUGGACAGACCCAGCCACAGGAGAUGAAGCUUAAUUUCCCAUGUGUACGUAUAUACUUUCCUUCUUAUGGGUCACUUCAGCAGAACUUCAUACCAUAUGUAGUAUGUAUAGAAGUACACAGUGACAAACCUUUCCAUGCUGGAAACAACUUGAUACACUGAAG
rnacentral:lncRNA from 1 species